rnacentral:misc_RNA from 1 species
GUUUAGCCCUGAUCGCAGCGAUUGUCUGAGCUCAUUUUUAGGAUUACGGCGGCGCGGCUCCGCCGCGCCGCCGUAAUCCUAAAAAUAGCGAGUGCGGAGAGCAGGAAAAAGC